UACGUAGGGUGCAAGCGUUAAUCGGAAUUACUGGGCGUAAAGCGUGCGCAGGCGGUUUUGUAAGUUUGUCGUGAAAUCCCCGGGCUCAACCUGGGAACUGCAUUUGUGACUGUAGAGCUGGAGUGCGGCAGAGGGGGAUGGAAUUCCGCGUGUAGCAGUGAAAUGCGUAGAUAUGCGGAGGAACACCGAUGGCGAAGGCAAUCCCCUGGGCCUGCACUGACGCUCAUGCACGAAAGCGUGGGGAGCAAACAGG
rnacentral:rRNA from 1 species